rnacentral:rRNA from 1 species
GACGAACGCUGGCGGCGUGCUUAACACAUGCAAGUCGAACGCUGAAGCUUGGUGCUUGCACUGGGUGGAUGAGUGGCGAACGGGUGAGUAAUACGUGAGUAGCCUGCCCUUGACUCUGGGAUAAGCCUGGGAAACUGGGUCUAAUACUGGAUACGACAUGUCACCGCAUGGUGGUGUGUGGAAAGGGUUUUACUGGUUUUGGAUGGGCUCACGGCCUAUCAGCUUGUUGGUGGGGUAAUGGCUCACCAAGGCGACGACGGGUAGCCGGCCUGAGAGGGUGACCGGCCACACUGGGACUGAGACACGGCCCAGACUCCUACGGGAGGCAGCAGUGGGGAAUAUUGCACAAUGGGCGGAAGCCUGAUGCAGCGACGCCGCGUGAGGGAUGACGGCCUUCGGGUUGUAAACCUCUUUCAGCACGGAAGAAGCGAAAGUGACGGUACGUGCAGAAGAAGCGCCGGCUAACUACGUG